rnacentral:rRNA from 1 species
CGCAAUGGGCGAAAGCCUGACGGAGCAAUGCCGCGUGGAGGAUGACAGCCUGUGGGUCGUAAACUCCUUUUAUCAGAGAAGAAGUUCUGACGGUAUCUGAGGAAUAAGCAUCGGCUAACUCCGUGCCAGCAGCCGCGGUAAGACGGGUGAUGCAAGCGUUAUCCGGAAUGAUUGGGCGUAAAGCGUCUGUAGGUGGUUUAUUAAGUCUACUGUUAAAGAUCAGGGCUUAACCGUGAGUCGGCAGUAGAAACUACUGAGCUUGAGUACGGUAGGGGCAGAGGGAAUUCCCGGUGUAGCGGUGAAAUCCGUAGAGAUCGGGAAGAACACCAAUGGCGAAAGCACUCUGCUGGGCCGUACCUGUCUCUCAGACACGAAAGCGU